rfam:Ciona savignyi cont_56347, whole genome shotgun sequence.
GACGAGUUGGCCGAGUGGUUAAGGCGAUGGACUGCUAAUCCAUUGUGCUCUGCGCCCGUGGGUUCGAAAUCCCAUCCUCGUCG